rnacentral:rRNA from 1 species
GUUUGAUUAUGGCUCAGAACGAACGUUGGCGGCGUGGAUUAGGCAUGCAAGUCGAACGAAUCCCAGGGGGGCAACUCCCUGGGGGAAGUGGCGAAAGGGGCAGUAAGGCGUGGGUAACUUGCCCCGGAGUUCGGAAUAGCCUCCCUAACGGGUGGAUAAUACCGAAUGCCGUGUCGGAGGGGCCUCCUUCUGGCACGAAAGCUCCGGCGCUCCGGGAGGGGCCCACGUAGUAUUAGCUAGUUGGUGGGGUAACGGCCCACCAAGGCCAAGAUGCUUAGCAGGUGUGAGAGCACGACCUGCGCCACUGGCACUGGGACACUGGCCAGACUCCUACGGGAGGCUGCAGUCGAGGAUCUUCGGCAAUGGGCGCAAGCCUGACCGAGCGACGCCGCGUGCGCGAUGAAGGCCUUCGGGUUGUAAAGCGCUGUCGGGAGGGAGAAAGCCCCGCAAGGGGUUGAUCGACCUCCGGAGGAAGCACGGGCUAAGUUCGUGCCAGCAGCCGCGGUAAGACGAACCGUGCGAACGUUGUUCGGAAUCACUGGGCUUAAAGGGCGCGUAGGCGGGCUCGCGAGUCCGGGGUGAAAGCCCCCAGCUUAACUGGGGAAGCGCCUUGGAUACUGCGGGCCUCGAGGGGGGUAGGGGCGCGCGGAACUUCCGGUGGAGCGGUGAAAUGCGUAGAUAUCGGAAGGAACACCGGUGGCGAAAGCGGCGCGCUGGGCCCCUUCUGACGCUGAGGCGCGAAAGCCAGGGGAGCAAACGGGAUUAGAUACCCCGGUAGUCCUGGCCCUAAACGUUUGGGCACUAGGUUGCGGAACUUACUGGGUUUCGCAGCCGGAAGCAAAAAGUGUUAAGUGCCCCGCCUGGGGAGUAUGGUCGCAAGGGUGAAAUUCAAAGGAAUUGACGGGGGGCUCACACAAGCGGUGGAGCAUGUGGCUUAAUUCGAGGCUACGCGAAGAACCUUAUCCUGGACUUGACAUGUGCGAAAGCGGUAGGAAGUAGGGGGCGAAAACGUCCCCCCAACGGUAUCCAGUCCGGAACCUACUACAGGUGCUGCAUGGCUGUCGUCAGCUCGUGUCGUGAGAUGUCGGGUUAAGUCCCAUAACGAGCGAAACCCCUGUCUCCAGUUGCCAGCGGAUCAUGCCGGGGACUCUGGAGAGACUGCCGGUGUUAAACCGGAGGAAGGUGGGGAUGACGUCAAGUCCUCAUGGCCUUUAUGUCCAGGGCUGCACACGUGCUACAAUGGCGUAUACAAAGGGAAGCGAUCCCGCGAGGGCAAGCCAAUCUCAAAAAAUACGCCCCAGUUCAGAUCGAAGGCUGCAACUCGCCUUCGUGAAGUUGGAAUCGCUAGUAAUCGCGGGUCAGCAACACCGCGGUGAAUGUGUUCCUGAGCCUUGUACACACCGCCCGUCAAGCCACGAAAGGGAGGGAGGGGCCAAGUCGCCGCGCCGACCGCAAGGGGGCAAGCGCCUAACCCUUAACUCCUGAUUGGGACUAAGUCGUAACAAGGUAGCC